UACGUAGGGUGCGAGCGUUGUCCGGAAUUAUUGGGCGUAAAGAGCUUGUAGGCGGUUUGUCGCGUCUGCUGUGAAAAUCCGAGGCUCAACCUCGGACUUGCAAUGGGUACGGGCAGACUAGAGUGUGGUAGGGGAGACUGGAAUUCCUGGUGUAGCGGUGGAAUGCGCAGAUAUCAGGAGGAACACCGAUGGCGAAGGCAGGUCUCUGGGCCACUACUGACGCUGAGAAGCGAAAGCAUGGGGAGCGAACAGG
rnacentral:rRNA from 1 species